CUCUCCGUAGCUCAGCUGGCAGAGCAUCUGACUCUUAAUCAGAGGGUCCACGGUUCGAUCCCGUGCGGGGAGACCA
rnacentral:tRNA from 9 species